rnacentral:rRNA from 1 species
UGGGGAAUUUUGGACAAUGGGGGAAACCCUGAUCAAGCCAUCCCGCGUGUGCGAUGAAGGCCUUCGGGUUGUAAAGCACCUUUGGCAGGAAAGAAACGUCAUGGGUUAAUACUACGUGAAACUGAUGGUACCUGCAGAAUAAGCACCGGCUAACUACGUGCCAGCAGCCGCGGUAAUACGUAGGGUGCAAGCGUCAAUCGGAAUUACUGGGCGUAAAGCGUGCGCAGGCGGUUCGGAAAGAAAGAUGUGAAAUCCCAGUGCUCAACUUUGGAACUGCAUUUUUAACUAACGGGCUAGAGUGUGGCAGAGGGAGGUGGAAUUCCGGGUGUAGCAGUGACAUGCGUAGAUAGGCGGAGGAACAACGAUGGCGAAGGCAGCCUCCUGGAAUAACACUGACGCUCAUGCACGAAAGCGUGGGGAGCAAACAGG